UUAAUUAUGUAGGCAUUUUAAGUAAUCGUUAUACUGUUGCAAACUUUCUCAUUUCGGACGUAUCUUACAACAAUGAAUCGAUUCACAUUUCACAAGAAAUCGUUAGUCGAUUGAAGUUCAAGACUAAAUAGUUUCACUACUGCAGUUAGUAUAAUAUCUGGGAUAUGUUUUGCGCCUCGUGUAAAAUUAGUACCGGCAACAGAUUUAACUCCAUUUUAGCCUUAUCAUUUAUGGCUAAGAGAUCUAUUGAUAACGUCAUUCACUAGUUCAUUCCAACUUGAAAUUUGAAAUUUCUACUUUAAAGAAAAUAAAUCGACUAAGGCUUAUAUUGUGUUCUGUUUAUUUUUCUUUGUUAAUCCUUAAUCGUGUCUAGUUUCUACUGUACGUUACUAACACCAAGGGAUUGAUACAACAACAACAAGCUAACUACUCAAAAUUAUUAAAAUAGUUUUCAUAAAUAUACUUGAGUUUUAGACUCGCAAGAUACAUUUGAUUACAUGAGAUCGAUGUUUAUGUUUUUUUAACAAAAGACAAGCUCUGCUCAGAAUAACUACUUGAUACAGUCGAGAGAUAUGCGUACGACAAGCCUGACCGAGAUGUUAAUUUUUAUUUUUUUGUUAGUUAUUUAGAUUGAAAUGACUAAAAUUAUGUAAUAUAUACAUAACAUAAUAAUAUCAAUGGCAUAGUGCACAAGUGUGUUGAAUGAUUUUUUUUUUGUUAUAAUUUUAAACAUUAUUAUGUAUUAAUUGAAGAACUUAUAGAUGGUUCUCUAGCAGCAGUAAUUUUUAGUCAGGCUAUUAUAGGUAAUAUAUAUACAAAUAAUAAUGUUUAAUUAGUAUUUUAAAAUGAUUUUUCUUCUAAAACAAUUAUUUUUCGCUAUG